rnacentral:lncRNA from 1 species
CCCUCCAGCCAGGGAGGCACCCACCACCCCUACUGGGAAACAGGCCUGAGCCUGCCCAGGGCAGGGGAGCAGAGGGAGGGGCCUUGCUGGGCAGAGGUCAUCUCAUGUGAGCUUCCAGCCCCGCCCCUUUCCACUGUUGUCCCGGUCAGCCCACAUGUUGUUCUGUUUUGUUUUGAAAAGAUUUAUUUAUUUGAAAGGCAGGGCAUCAGAGGGAGGCAGAUAGGCACAGAGGAUCUUCCAUCCACUGGUUCAUUCCCCAAAUGCCUCGGACAGCCAGGGCUGGGCCAGGCCGAAGCCAGAUGCCAGAACUCCAGCCAGGUCUCCCACGUGGGUGGCAGGGGCCCAAGUACCAGGUGCGUCGGCAGGAAGCUGGACUGGAAGCAGAGGAGCCGGGACAGCACCACACUCAAUACGGGAUGCCAGUGUCGUAAGCCGUGGUCCAAUCCACUGCGCCACCACGCUGGGCCCAGCCCGCACCUCGCUUCUCCCGUUGUCAAGCUGGGCCUCCUUUGUCCUCAGCUCCCCCAGUGGGGCAGGGGCUCCCCAGGGAUUCUGCUCAGUGCCUGGGAUGGCUGGGGCUGCUCCGCGGAGCAGCCCGACGCAGGGCAGGGGCUCAAGAGCUCCCAGGGCGACAGGUGCCGGUCUUGUGUGUGGGGCCUGGCGGUGGGGGCAGCCCGGGCUGUCCACCCCCAACCUCUGCCCUUACUCUUGCCGAGCUCUGAGGCUGCUAACCCGCGCAGACACACCCGCCAGCCGUGGGAGCGCGGGGCGAUGCUCGGUACAGGGGCUUGAUACGCACAGAUGGAGUGUUUAUUGAUUUUGUCCUAAAACACUAUACACUUAAAGGAACUAAAAGACUGGACAAUUCUGGGCCAGUCUGUAGCGCAGGAACGAGGGCUUGUGCUGGGAGUUCUCACACAGACACCUUCCAAGUGAGACGAGCGCUCACCGGAAACACAGAGGAAAUGCAUAGCUCGUGACGGCGGCGGCCAUGGCCCCACAGUCUGCGCCAACAGAAUCAAGGCUCUCCCCCUCCCCGUGGCCCAGCGGGGCGCUGCUGCAGGGCUGGGCUCUUCACAGUGUUCUGCUACAGGACCGGGGGCUGAGGCGCUAGCGGCCCCCCCGCCCCAGCCCCGGGAGGACAAGCCGCCCCAGCAGUCUCCACUUCCGCUCUGGGGGGCCCACGGCCCAGCCUGUCCCAGGGCCGCGGACUUCAAGCAGUUUGCAAGUGAAACGUGCUGUCCGAAGCCGUUACGUCUCAUUAAAACAGCAGGUGAACUCUUUAGAUUCUCUGAAUAUCAAAUAAUAUAUACAGAUAUACACAAGACAUGACAGUCUCGCAUGGCAAAGCAUCUCAACCUACGAGGCAGUGGCUUGCACAGUUAGUUUUGCUUUUCAACCUUCUAAAUCACUGAUAAAAUCGUUAAUUUGCAAAAGAAUAAAGUUUUAAGCAAGAAUAGAGAAAAUACUUUU